CUGGGUGAGGUGUAAGUGGUUGCAUGGCCGGUUUGGAUCCGGGCGGUUCGAGGUUCGAGUCCUCGCACCCAGA
rnacentral:tRNA from 1 species